ensembl:lncRNA
GAAGGAAUAACAAAUCAAGUCUUGAAGGAAAUGAUAGAAACAGAAAUUAACUUCGUACAAGAAACAGAACCUUUGGCAGGACCUUCAACAGAAGAACCUGGCGAUGCAGAAUAUCAAAGACCUGCACAAUGUGUGUCAGCUGAUGCUUUUGUCCUGGAAGAAGAAGGGAAGUUAUUGGGUGAGACAAUGGACAGUAAGGUAGAAAUGGAGGUGGAAACCACAAGUAGUGACGUUCUUAAACAAACCGAGCAACAUAUUAGUUCACCAGAGUGUGAAACUACUGAAGCUGAUGGACGUCGUGAUCAGAUACAGAAGGUCAUUGCUGGAGAAACAGAGUUGAGUAGUCAUGAAGACUUAAUGGAAGUCAGCAGAUCUGGGAUGAAAAGAGGAUUUGAUUCAGUGAGCAAAGACCUUCCAGAGGUGAAGACAGAAGGCAAAUUAUAUUUGUAUCUACAGGCAUUUGAGGAAUCAUCUUUGGACUUUACCGUUCAGAAGUCUCGAAUUGCUGUGAAGAAUCCCCUAGUUCGGCCUCCCAAAGACCCCAGAAGGCUCCUCUUCAAGGCCUCGGUCGAACCUCUUGUCCCACAGCCUUCACCAUGUAGUCAGAAGGUUGAAGUCUCUCUUCCAAAUAAAGGGGUAACUGGAUUUAAACUUCCAGGACUGGGUGCAGCGCUGCCAGUAUUGAGAAAAACUGAGUUUGGGAAGAAAGCAAGAGAAGGAGGAGCAGCAGAGAGAACACUGCAACCACAGCAAAAGUCAGUUGCAGUAACAGAGGAUUCUGUCAAACAAGAGCAAGUGCCAGCUAAACCCAAAUGGACACCGCCAAGGCAUCCUGGGUAUGGCCUGUUAUAUCAAUCUGAAUUAUUAAUUUCAUUUGAUGUUGUUUCACAAAUAACUAACUUCUUUCCUUAUUUUGUUUGUGCAGUAUGGGGAGUCCCUUCAUGAUGGCAGAACUCAAAAGCAAACUCAAAAAGCCUGUUCAGGAGUAAUAAUAUAUUUUCAGAUGCAUUCUUCACCCGUUUUUAUUUGUCUUAUUCAAGCACUAUGCAGCCUGGUAAAUAUUAUGGAAAGUUAUUCUAACUCCUCAGCUGCCGCACAACAUUUCAUUUUACUUCCACUAUUUUGUUUGCUUCUAUCUUAAGAAUCUAAACUGCGCACAGACAUUUCUCAUGCAUUUUUCUUAAGAGUUUAACUGAGUAUGUAUUUAUAUUUGAAGGGGGGGAAAGUAUAAGGGAAAUGAUUACAUACUAAAUAUCAAUAAACAUUUUUGCACUUUUUUGCAGCACUUAAACUUUGACUGUAGUUCAAACUGUCAUAUCCAGUGUUUAUCACUAGGGGGCAGCAGAGAAUCACUGCUGGACGACUGCUGUCGUUUCGCCACUAGAGGGCAGAACAGAGUCGCUGGCUGUCAUAUCACAUUUAAAACUAUUUUAUUGCUAUUUGUUAUUGUUAUAUUGUAUAUUUCUUUUUCUUUUUCUUGCCAUUUCUUUCUAUGUGUAUAAUUAUUUGGCAAUAUUGUAUGUAAACAAUCAUGGCAAUAAAGUAUUUUGAAUUGAAUAUAUCACUUCGCCACUAGGGGGCAUAACAGAGUCGCUGGUUGUCAUAUGUUUAUACGCCACUAGAGGACAGUAGUAAGCCGCUCGCUGUUACAUAUCACUCCGCCACUAGAGGGCAGAAGACGGUCGUUGGCUGUAAUAUGUCAAUGCGCCACUAGGGGCAGCAGACAGCCAUUGGCUGUAAUAUGUCAAUGCGCCACUAGGGGCAGCAGACAGCCAUUGGCUCUAAUGUGUCAAUGCGCCACUAGGGGCAGCAGACAGCCAUUGGCUCUAACUAGGGGCAGCAGACAGCCAUUGGCUGUAAUAUGUCAAUGCGCCACUAGGGGCAGCAGACAGCCAUUGGCUCUAACAUGUCAAUGCGCC